rnacentral:rRNA from 1 species
UACGUAGGUGGCAAGCGUUGUCCGGAAUUAUUGGGCGUAAAGCGCGCGCAGGCGGUCCUUUAAGUCUGAUGUGAAAUCCCACGGCUCAACCGUGGAACUGCUUGGUAUACUGGGUGUCUUGGGUCAUCUAGGGGCUGCCGGAACAAAUGGUGGAGCGGUGAAAUGCGUAGAUAUCAUUUGGAACGCCAACGGCGAAAGCAGGCAGCUGGGGAUGCACCGACGCUGAGACACGAAAGCCAGGGGAGCGAACAGG